rnacentral:rRNA from 1 species
GACGAACGCUGGCGGCGUGCUUAACACAUGCAAGUCGAGCGGUAAGGCCCUUUCGGGGGUACACGAGCGGCGAACGGGUGAGUAACACGUGGGUGACCUGCCUCAGCUCUGGGAUAAGCCUGGGAAACUGGGUCUAAUACCGGAUAUGACUCCAUGACGCAUGUUGUGGGGUGAAAGCCUUGUGCGGCUGAGGAUGGGCCCGCGGCCUAUCCAGCUUGUUGGUGGGGUGAUGGCCUACCAAGGCGACGACGGGUAGCCGGCCUGAGAGGGCGACCGGCCACACUGGGGACUGAGACACGGCCCAGACUCCUACGGGAGGCAGCAGUGGGGAAUCUUGCGCAAUGGGCGAAAGCCUGACGCAAGCGACGCCGCGUGAGGGAUGACGGCCUGG